rnacentral:lncRNA from 1 species
GUUGUUAGCCCUUUCCCAGAAAGCCUGACACCCAUGUCUUUAGUCCGGCAGCCGUGCUAGUCACUUUUAACUGGCCGACAGGUGCCCGGUAUUUAGCCCCCGAAUUCUAAGGAAAGAUAGGACAGAAUAGCAAGUGAAAGGGGUCCGUGGUACUCACUGCUUGGUGAUAGGUGAUGGUCUCGCCGCUCAGCUAUAGGUGAUGGUCUCACCGCUUGGUGAUAGGCGAAAGUCCCAUCUGGGUCGCCAAAAUGUGUCCGGAAUUGGUGGGUUCUUGGUCUCACUGACUUCAAGAAUGAAACUGCGGACCCUUGCGGUGAGUGUUACAGCUCUUAAGGCGGCACAUCUGGAGUUGUUCGUUCCUCCCGGCGGGCUCGUGGUCUCGCUGGCUUCAGGAGUGAAGCUGCAGGCC